rnacentral:lncRNA from 1 species
AAGGAAAUUAGCUAGGCGUGGUGGCACGCACCUGUGGUCCCAGUUACUUGGGAGACCGAGGUAGGAGGAUUACCUGAGCCCAGGAUGUCAAGGCUGCAAUGAGCUGUGAUCACGCCACUGUGGUCCAGUCUGGGUGACAGAGUGAGACUCUGGCUCAAAAAAAAAAAAAAAAAAAAUUGUUUCAGCUAUUCUAGUUUAUUUGCCUUUCCUCAUACAUUUUAUAAUAAUCUUUAUUUACAAAAAUCAUGCUGGGAUUUGGAUAGGAAUUGCACUAAACUUGUAUAUUAAUUUAGGGAGAAUUGACAUCCUUACUGUGAUGAGUCUUUGAAGUCAUGAAAACAGUAUAUCUGUCUAUUUAGAUCUUCUUUGAUUUCUUUCAACACCAUUUUCUAGUUUUCAUCAUAUGAGUCUUGUACAUGUUUUACUGGAUUCAUACCUAAAUAUUUCCUUUUUCUGUGAUUAUAAAUAUUAUGUUUUAAAUGUUGAUGUCCGUGUUUUCAUUGCUAAUAUAUAUAUGUUGAUAUUUGUAUGUUGAUUUUGUAUUGUGACCUUGCUGAAUUCACUUACUGGUUCUAGCUUUUUUUUUUUUUUUAGAUUUCAUGAAAUUUUCUAUAAAGGCCAUCAUGCCAUUAUAAGGACCGCCUGAUAUCUUUCUUUCCAAUAUGUAUGCUUUUAAAAUUCUUUUCCUAUUCUUAUUACACAGACUACAAUUUCCAGCACUGUGUUGAAUAAGAUUGGUGAGAGUGGACAUGCUUGCCUUGUGUUCAGUCAGGGGGAAAGCAUUCAGUCUCUCACUGUGAAGUAUGAUGCUAGUUGUAGGUUUUUUGUAGAUACUCUAUCAAAUUGAGAAAAUUCCCUUUUAUUUCUAGUUUCCUGAGAGUUUUUAUUAUGAAUGGGUACGGAAUUUUGUCAAGUGCUUUCUCUCUGUCAAUUGAUUUUUCUUUAGCCUGUUAACAGGGUGGAAUACAUUGAUUGAUUUUUUUUCAUUGAUUGAUUUUUGAAUAUUGACUUAGCCUUGCAUCCCUGGAAUAAUCCCCACCUGGUCAUAGUAUAUAAUUCUUUUCAUAUAUUGCUGAAUUCUAUUCAUUUUUUUUUCUUUGGAGACGGAGUUUCCCUCUUGUUGCCCAGGCUAGAGUGCAAUAGCACAAUCUCCGCUCACGGCAACCUGUGCCUCCCAGGUUCAAGCAAUUCUCCUGCCUCAGUCUCCCGAGUAGCUGGGAUUACAGGCAUGCACCACCAUGCCCGGCUAAUUUUGUAUUUGUAUUUUUUAUUUUAUUUUAUUUUUGAGAUGGAGUCUCGCUCUGUCACCCAGGCUGGAGUGCAAUGGUGCGAUCUUGGCCCACUGCAACCUCCCCCUCCCGGGUUCAAGCAAUUCUCCUGCCUCAGCCUCCUGUGUAGCUGGGAUUACAGGUGUUUGCCACCAUGCCUGGUUAAUUUUUGUAUUUUUAGUAGAGACGGGGUUUUGCCAUGUUGGCCAGGCUGGUUUUGAACUUCUGACCUCGUGAUCCGCCCACCUAGGCCUCCCAAAGUGCUGGGAUUACAGGCAUGAGCCACUGUGCCUGGCCAAUUUUGUAUUUUUAGUAGGGAUGGGGUUUCUCCAUAUUGGUCAGGCUGGUCUCGAACUCCCAACCUCAGGUGAUCCGCCUGCCUUGGCCUCCCAAAGUGCUGGGAUUACAGGCGUGAGCCACCGUGCCCGGCCUCUAUUUGUUAUUUAUUUAUUUAUUUAUUUAUUUAUGGAGACAGAGUCAGGCUGGAGUGCAGUGGCACGAUCUUGGCUCUCUGCAACCUCCACCUCCCGAGUUCUAAGUGAUUCUCCUGCCUCAGCCUCCGGAGUAGCUGGGAUUACAGGCACGCACCACCACGCCCAGCUCAUUUUUUUUAAUUUUUAGUAGAGACAGGGUUUCACCAUGUUGGUCAGGCUGGUCUCCAACUCCUGACCUGAGGUGAUCCACCCACUUCAGCCUCCCAAAGUGCUGGGAUUACAGGCAUGAGGCACCGUGCCUGGCCUAUUUGUUGAUGUUUUGUUAAGGAUUUUUGUGUCUGUGUUCUUAUUAAAGGUCAUUGGUCUGUAGUCAUCUUUUUUGUAUUUUCCUUGUCUGGUUUUGAUAUGGGUAAGAUGGGCCUCAUAAAAUGACUUAGGAAAUGCUUCAUCUCUUCUAUUUUCUGGAUCAGAUUUGUAGAAUCGGUGUUAAUUCUUUAGACGUUUGAUAGAAUUCUCCACUGAAAUCAUCUGGAGUAAAGAUUUCUUGGGGGUGAAGUUUUAAAUUACAAAUUCAAUGUCCUUAAUAGUUAUAAAGCUACUGAAAUUAUCUACUUCAUAUCGGGUAUGUUGUAGUAGUUUUUAUUUUUUAAGGAAUUAGUCCAUUUCAUCUAAGUUGUCAAAUGUGUGUUAGUAACAUAUAAAACAAAUGUGUGUUUAUAAAAUUUCCAGGGCCAGGUUCACUUAUUUUUCAAGUCUGUUGUUUGGUACGUACACAUUUAAGUUUGGUAUGUGUUCCUUUUUCUUUUCUUUUUUUCUUUUUUUUCUUUCCUUUUUGAGGCAAGGUCUCGCUCUGUCGCCCAGGCUGGAGUGCAGUAACUUAUCACAGUCUACUGGUGUUGACAUUUUACCAGUUUGAGUGAAAGGUAGAAACAUUACCUCUAUACCUCUGGAAAGUUCUACCAGAUUACAAAUAAAGAAAGAAACCUUUUUCUGUGUCCUUUUACUCUCCCAUUAUAAUGUAACUAUCUUAAGUAUUUCCUCUACAUAUAUGGACAGCCACUUAGACAAGCGUAAUUUUUGCUUCAACUGUUGAACAUAAUUUAGAAUACUCAAGAGGAAAAAGACAAUCUAUUGUAUUGACCUGUAUGUUUGCUCUUUUUGUCCUUUUUUCCUGCCUGAUGUUCCAAGAUUCCUUUUGUUACCACUCCCUUUGUUUAGAGAAUUGCCUUUAGUAAUCCCUAUAAAGUAAAUCUGCCAGUGACAAAUUCCCUUAGUUUUUCCCUCAUGUAAGAAUGUCAUGAUUUCCUCCCCCACAGCCCUUCCCCCCAAUUCCUGAAGGAUUGUUUCACCAGGUAUGGGAUUCCAAGUUGAUAGUUCUUUUCUUUCAGCAUUUCAAAAAUGUUCCAGCUGGGCGCAGUGGCUCAGGCCUGUAAUCCCAGCACUUUGGGAGGCCGAGGUGGGCAGAUAACGAGGUCAUGAGUUCGAGACCAACCUGGCCAAUAUGGUGAAACUCCUGUCUUUACUAAAAAUACAAAAAUUAGCCAGGCAUGGUGGCGCGCCUGUAGCCCCAGCUACUUGGGAGGCUGAGGCAGAAGAAUUGCUUGAACCUGGGAGGCGGAGGUUGCAGUGAGCCAAGAUCGCGCCACUGCACUCCACCCUGGGUGAAAGAGUAAGACUCUUGUCUAAAAAAAAAAAUGUUGUUCCACUUCCUCCUGGCCUCCAUGGUGCCUUACGAGAAAUUCAGCAUCAUUUGAAUUGUUUUCCCCCUAUAGGUAAUGUAUCAUUUCUCUCUGGCUGCUUUCAAGAAUUUGUGGCUGGGUGCGGGUGGCUCACACCUGUAAUCCCAACACUUUGGGAGUCUGAGGCGGACAGAUCACCUGAGGUCAGGAUUUCGAGACCAGCCUGGCCAACAUGGUGAAACCCCAUCUCUACUAAAAAUACAAAAAAUUAGCCAGGCAUGGUGGUACACGUCUAUAGUCCCAGCUACUUGGGAGGCUGAGGCAAGAGAAUCGCUUGAACCCAGGAGGCGGAGGUUGCAGCGAACUGAGAUUGUGCCACUGUGCUCCAGCCUGGACAGCAGAGGGAGACUCCAUCUCAAAAAAAAAAAAAAAAAAAAAGUAUAUGUUGAGAAGUUUAUGAUGUGUUUUCUCAUGGGCAUAUCCUGUUUGAGGUUUGCUCAGCUAUGUGAAUCUGUCAGUUUGUCUUUUGCAAAAUUUGGGCAAAUUUCGGCUAUUUGUUCUUUUAAUAUUUCUUCUCCUUCUGUGACUCCAAUGACAUGAAUGUUAGAUCUUAUGUUAUUGUCUCACAUGGCCCUGAGGCUCUGUUUUUUUUUUUUUCCAUUCUAUUUUUUUUCCCUAGUGUUCAGAUUGGAUAAUUUGUAGUUUUCUGUCUUCAAACUCAUUCUUUCCUCUGUCCUCUCCAUUCUGUUGCUGAGCUUAUUCAUUGAGUUUUAAAUUUCAAUCAUUGUAUUUUUUAUUCCUAAAAUUUCCAUUUGGUUCUUCUUUAUGUAUCGAUCUGUUGAGACAUUAUAUUUUCCAGACUUUCCAUUUUUUCAUUUGUUCCAAGUAUGUUUGUAUUUGAACACGUUAUAUACAUUGAAGCAUUUUUAUGAUGGCUACUUCAAAAUCUUUUUCAGAUAAUUCUAAUAUCUGUGUCAUUUUGCACAUCAUGUUAUAAGACUCUGGA